rnacentral:rRNA from 1 species
UACGAAGGGGCUAGCGUUGCUCGGAAUUACUGGGCGUAAAGCGCACGUAGGCGGCUUUCUAAGUCGGGGUGAAAUCCUGGAGCUCAACUCCAGAACUGCCUUUGAUACUGGGAUGCUUGAGUCCGGGAGAGGUGAGUGGAAUUCCCAGUGUAGCGGUGAAAUGCGUAGAUAUUGGGAGGAACACCAGUGGCGAAGGCGGCUCACUGGACCGGUACUGACGCUGAUGCGCGAAAGCGUGGGAGCAAACG